rnacentral:rRNA from 1 species
AGGUUAAGUUAAUAAGGGCGCAUGGUGGAUGCCUUGGCACUAGAAGGCGAUGAAGGACGUGACUAACUACGAUAUGCCUCGGUUAGCUGUAAGUAAGCUUACCCGGGGGUUUCCGAAUGGGGCAACCCGAUCUUAAUGAUCAUCAUCUUUUUGAAUUCAUAGAUUAGAUGAAGCAAACGCUGUGAACUGAAACAUCUAAGUAGCAGUAGGAAAGUAAAGAAAUUUCGAUUCCGUCAGUAGCGGCGAGCGAACGCGGAAGAGCCCAAACCUGGAUGCUUGCAUCCAGGGGUUGUAGGACUGAUGUUGAGUUACAAAGGUAUAAGAUAGCAGAAACAGUUGGGAAGCUGUUCCAAAGAGGGUGACAGGCCCGUAUGCGAAAUCUUGUACUCUCUAAUCAGGAUCCUGAGUACGGCCCAGCACGUGAAAUUGGGUCGGAAUCUGGGAGGACCAUCUCCCAAGGCUAAAUACUAACUAGUGACCGAUAGCGAACAAGUACCGUGAGGGAAAGGUGAAAAGAACCCCGAAAGGGGAGUGAAAUAGUUCUUGAAACCGUGUGCUUACAAGAAGUUCGAGGCCGUUAAUGGC